rnacentral:rRNA from 1 species
AUUGAACGCUGGCGGCAGGCCUAACACAUGCAAGUCGAGCGGUAACACAGGGAGCUUGCUCCCGGGUGACGAGCGGCGGACGGGUGAGUAAUGUCUGGGAAACUGCCUGAUGGAGGGGGGUAACUACUGGAAACGGUAGCUAAUACCGCAUAACGUCGCAAGACCAAAGAGGGGGACCUUCGGGCCUCUUGCCAUCGGAUGUGCCCAGAUGGGAUUAGCUAGUUGGUGAGGUAACGGCUCACCAAGGCGACGAUCCCUAGCUGGUCUGAGAGGCUGACCAGCCACACUGGAACUGAGACACGGGCCAGACUCCUACGGGAGGCAGCAGUGGGGAAUAUUGCACAAUGGGCGCAAGCCUGAUGCAGCCAUGCCGCGUGUAUGAAGAAGGCCUUCGGGUUGUAAAGUACUUUCAGCGGGGAGGAAGGGGUUAAGGUUAAUAACCUUAGCCAUUGACGUUACCCGCAGAAGAAGCACCGGCUAACUCCGUGCCAGCCGCCGCAGUAAUAC